rfam:Stegodyphus mimosarum contig18964, whole genome shotgun sequence.
GCCCUCGUGGUGUAGUGGUCAGCACGAUGGGCCGGUAUUCCAGAGGUCCGUGGUUCGAGUCCCGGCGAAAGUG